ensembl:lncRNA
GCACAAAUACAGCACAGCCCUCGAUCUGAGAUCUGCCUGAGUGACUGAGGGAGGUCUCUCUGCGACUGUUGGAGGCGGGAAAAACCAGGCAGGGACAUGGUUUCUGCAGCUAGACGCAGCCUGAUUCCCACCAGGAGCUCAGGACUAGACCCUGCGUCCCAGCAUCUACUCGACUCCAUCUUAAGAGUUUCGGCGUGUUGCCGGCUCCAGAACCCAACUUUCUGAUGUACUUAGAAUUUUUUGGCUUUGUGCUUGCAAAGGAGUUCAGCCACUUUCUCUUUCUGAUCUUGUUAGUGUGCUUGUCUCGUUUGCAUUUGUGGGUUCUAAUAGCGCCAUCAAAAUGAAUUGGGCAGGAGAGGAACCCUGGGAUAUUCUGCCGCGCCGCAGCCGCAGCCGCAGCCGCAGCUGCACAGGAAAAGAAGUGGUGGGUAGCAAAGUCGAGCGAGACCUUGGCUGGAAACAAAGCAGGACAGGAUGGAGGGAGACUAAAACAAGAUCUCACUAUAUAGGCCAGGCUAACUUCAAACUCCUGUUCCUCCUGCCUGCCUUUGCGUCCGAGUGCUGGAAUUACAGAAGGAUACCGUUGUGGGGGCUGAGGAUGUAGCUCUAGUGUGAGGUUUGGUCUGCUGCUAUGUAUUGUAAUGCUGAACACUGGCCCCCACCAAGCUCAGUUGCCUCAAGGAUCAGAGAAUCUUCCUGCUGACUCAGGUGACACUGUGUGACCUGCCCCCCAAGUUAUCCCUGAUUGGUACCCUGGCUGUAUCAGAGCAGAGUAAGCAGAAGAUGGAGAACUCGGCUCCUCCAGCACCACGCCUGCCUAGAUGCUGCCUGGAUGCUGCCUGGAUGCUGCCCUGCUCCCGCCUUGAUGAUAAUGGACUGACCCUCUGAACCUGGCAGGUGUGAAACCCAGUCUGUGAACAACCCUUGAGGUCCUCAUCUUGGCUUUGCUGGCAUCCAGCUCUUGCAGCUGCUCAUCCAGUUCCAUGAACAUCUCACGCUCCAGAUCCUCCCGACCUAACUAAGCGCUCUGCCCCCUCUCCAGAUGAGUCAUCUUCAAAGACUGUGAUCCAUAUUGGCUGUUCCUGAAAAACUCUUUGGCUGAGUGCUUUCCACAUAGCUCAGGAUGUGUGUGCAGGAGCGACAGAGGUCAGAAGAGAGCACCACAUCCCCUGGAACUGGAGUUACAGGCAGAUGCAAGCUGCCAUCUUGGUGCUGGAAAUAAAUAUGCAACUUCUAUAAGAGCAGUACGUACUCUUAAUGGCUGAGCUCUCUUGAGUCCCCUGCUUGGAUUUUUUAAAAACUAAUUUUAUUAGAGAAUACAUUACUUCCUUUCAGACCUAUGAGGAUAUGCCUUUUGCAAAGCAUUUCCUUUAUCCCUCUCCAGAAGAGAAAAGGAAACAGAAGUGGGGGCUGAUACAGAACUCCAACUCCUAUUAAUGGAUGCAAAGUACCCAGGAUGUCAUAAAAUGAGCCCAGUCUUCGGCCAUAAACAAAAGGCAGUCUUGUGUGUUGGCUGCUGCAUUGCCCUGUCAGCCUACAGAAGGAAAAGGAAGGCUGGCCGUUCCGCAGGACACAGCACUAAAAGCACCCUGGUUCAAGAUGAGUGGGAAGCCAUCCCAGUAAACACAUCAUGAAUUUAAAACAAAACAGCAUUACUUCAAAUGAGAUAAUUUUUAAAUAUAUAUUUUGAUGAAUUUGAGAGGUUUGUGGAGGUGGUGAUUUGGUUUUAAUUUUGAUAUGGAGCCUGAGUGUCAGAACAUCAACCUAAAAACAAGGGCAAGGUCCUUUACACUGAACCUAAAAACAAGGGCAGGUUCCUUUCUAUAGGCCGCAAUACACUCCAACUAAAGGAUCAUGAAAGAUCAAAUGACUUCUGUGUGUGUGUGUGUGUGUGUGUGUGUGUGUGUGUGUGUGUGUGUGUGUGUAGGUGUGGUGUUAGGAAUAGAACUCUGGACUCACGCAUGUUAGACAAGUGUUCUACAUGAUCACCCUCCUCUCCGCCUUCCUCACUACCAGUACUGCAGCUUUGUGUUGAAAGAAAUGGGUUUUACCAGCCUCCAACAGUUGGACAUGACCACUGACAUGUCAGUGAAAGUUGCUGGAUGGUCCUUCUUGGACAGGCUUUCUACCAUGUGUCGUGUACAUUAAUAUGGUGAAUUGAUGAGGUGGCAGGAAUGAAAACGCCCUCCACAGGUUCAUAUGUUUCAAUGCUUGCUCUGCCCUUUGGGAAAAAUUAGGAGGUAUGGCCUUGUUGGAAGAGGUGUGUCACUGGGGCAGACUGACUUUGUGGUCCAAAAGACUUGAGUGGUCCUUAGUGUGGUUUCUGCCUCUGGUUUCUGUUUAAAGAUGUGACUCGCCUGGUGUUCCUACUCUGACAUCACGAACUUCUGCAUCAGGAAACCCCUGAAAUCAGAAAUCCCAAAUAAAUGAUUUCUCCUUUUUUAAAA